UACGGAGGAUGCGAGCGUUAUCCGGAUUUAUUGGGUUUAAAGGGUGCGUAGGCGGGCUUUUAAGUCAACGGUAAAAAUUCGGGGCUCAACCCCGUCCGGCCGUUGAAACUGGGGGUCUUGAGUGGGCGAGAAGAAGGCGGAAUGCGUGGUGUAGCGGUGAAAUGCAUAGAUAUCACGCAGAACCCCGAUUGCGAAGGCAGCCUUCCGGCGCCCUACUGACGCUGAGGCACGAAAGUGCGGGGAUCGAACAGG
rnacentral:rRNA from 1 species